rnacentral:rRNA from 1 species
UAAGGAAUAUUGGACAAUGGUCGCAAGACUGAUCCAGCCAUGCCGCGUGCAGGAAGACGGCCCUAUGGGUUGUAAACUGCUUUUGUACCAGAGAAAACCUAUCUACGUGUAGAUAGCUGAUAGUAUGGUAAGAAUAAGCAUCGGCUAACUUCGUGCCAGCAGCCGCGGUAAGACGAAGGGUGCAAGCGUUAUCCGGAUUCAUUGGGUUUAAAGGGUGCGUAGGCGGGCUUGUAAGUCAGUGGUGAAAUCUCUCAGCUUAACUGAGAAACUGCCAUUGAUACUGCAGGCCUAGAGUAUAGAUGACGUUGGCGGAAUAUGACAUGUAGUGGUGAAAUACUUAGAUAUGUCAUAGAACACCGAUUGCGAAGGCAGCUAACGAAACUAUAACUGACGCUGAGGCACGAAAGUGCGGGGAUCAAACA